UACGUAGGUGGCAAGCGUUGUCCGGAAUUAUUGGGCGUAAAGCGCGCGCAGGCGGUCCUUUAAGUCUGAUGUGAAAGCCCACGGCUCAACCGUGGAGGGUCAUUGGAAACUGGAGGACUUGAGUGCAGAAGAGGAGAGUGGAAUUCCACGUGUAGCGGUGAAAUGCGUAGAGAUGUGGAGGAACACCAGUGGCGAAGGCGGCUCUCUGGUCUGUAACUGACGCUGAGGCGCGAAAGCGUGGGGAGCGAACAGG
rnacentral:rRNA from 1 species